rnacentral:rRNA from 1 species
CACCACAGAAGGUAAUAGUCCUGUAUGUUAAACGAGAAGACUUUAGAUAUGAUCCAGAGUACCACGGGACACGUGAAACCCUGUGGGAAGCAGGAGGGACCACCCUCCAAGGCUAAAUACUACCUAGUGACCGAUAGCGUAUAGUACCGGGAGGGAAAGGUGAAAAGAACCCCGGGAGGGGAGUGAAAUAGAACCUGAAACCCUGCACUUACAAGCUGUGGAAGCACAUUUCUUGUGUGACCGCGUACUUUUUGUAGAACGGGCCAACGAGUUACGU